rnacentral:lncRNA from 1 species
GGCGUGCGCUCCAGGCCCGGACUACAAGCUGGUUUCCAAAGGAAGUUUGUGGUUUUUCUUCUUUCUUUCUUUCUUUUUUUCCCAUCGGGACAAAGAAAAAUUAGUCAAGGACAAGCUCCCUGGAGGAGGAGGGGCUUGCCCAGCACUGGAGAAUUUCCAUCAGGGCUUUCUGACCUGGUCAGCAGCUUGCUGAUCAGUAGCGAGGGAGAGAGAAACAAGAAGAGAAAAACAACAGACCCUUUCUCUUCCCUCUGCCUGCCGCGGGAAGGGACGGAGCGCUUGUGCCUCUCUGGUGAGAACAGGGAAGAGCAAGUGCCCUUUGCUGAGCGCGGGGAGGAGCAGGACUGGACAGCAGCGGCUGGUUGGAUUGGGGCUUUCUCGAAAUGGAACUGGUUGGGCUGUGCCCCGGUGGUGCAGAAGGUGUGGAAGACUCCCCAGGCUCUGGGAGGAGAGGCAGCAGGGAGAGAACCAGCUGCGCAAGCAGGAGAUCCAAUACCCCUGUGCUCUGGUCCUUGUUCCCAGCACAGGCCUCAGCUUCUCAUGGGUCACCUCCUUUCAAUUCUUGGGGGGGNNNNNNNNNNNNNNNNNNNNNNNNNNNNNNNNNGGGGGGGGGGGCAGGAAAAGCUGGCAGUAAGAAAUAAAGGGGUGGAUCAAUAAAGAAGGGGGCAUUUGAUGAUGGGAGUACACUUAUUUGCAGUACCCUGCACUAUGGUGGGGCUGGAAGGUGGCAGUUAAGGGAGGUUGGAACCCAGCUCCACAUUCUGAAGGGCCCUCCUAACUUGACUUACAGGGCGGCCGUAGGAUGAAACUUCAAGCAACUCGGAAGGCUGAAAGGGCAGUUUGAACAAUUAGGGAGGCAGGGAGCAAAAAACCCAGGUUACAACAGCCCAGGGAAAGGAAGAGACAUUUGCCAAGGCUGUAGACCAACAGACUCCUGAGUUGUAAAGGAAGUAGCAGCAGGAAUUGUCAAGAGACCGCAGGUAUUAAGUAAAGAAGAGGUGUCAAAGAUUAUUCUAAUGUUUUUAUAACACGGACAGCAGAAAAUUGGCCGCCAUGGGUCAGUUUGGUAAAGGGGAGAAUUCGAGAAAGGAGGACUAAGAACAGUUUUUGCCUUUUGUAAUUUAAGAUGUCAACCACAUACUCGGUGUAACAUAUGGAAAGAUGCUAUAAGCCUCGCUCGGGAGGGAAAGUUCAGAUGCCACAAACAUAGGUUACUGUGACACAUAUACAUUUUCUCUCAAAUGAGUAAUCUCGGAAAAUUCUCCUUUCCUCCAUUCUUG